GAUGAACGCUGGCGGCGUGCCUAAUACAUGCAAGUCGAGCGAACAGAUGAGGAGCUUGCUCCUCUGACGUUAGCGGCGGACGGGUGAGUAACACGUGGAUAACCUACCUAUAAGACUGGGAUAACUUCGGGAAACCGGAGCUAAUACCGGAUAAUAUAUUGAACCGCAUGGUUCAAUAGUGAAAGACGGUUUUGCUGUCACUUAUAGAUGGAUCCGCGCCGCAUUAGCUAGUUGGUAAGGUAACGGCUUACCAAGGCAACGAUGCGUAGCCGACCUGAGAGGGUGAUCGGCCACACUGGAACUGAGACACGGUCCAGACGCCUACGGGAGGCAGCAGUAGGGAAUCUUCCGCAAUGGGCGAAAGCCUGACGGAGCAACGCCGCGUGAGUGAGGAAGGUCUUCGGAUCGUAAAACUCUGUUAUUAGGGAAGAACAAAUGUGUAAGUAACUAUGCACGUCUUGACGGUACCUAAGUAGAAAGCCACGGCGAACUACGU
rnacentral:rRNA from 1 species